UGAGAGUUAGAAAUUCAAAUUUGUUAUCCUGCUGAAAGAAAAUCUUGUGUUGAUCAUUUUUGAUUUUUGCCUUCAUGAGGGUAAAGUCAUGAUGGACUGACAUGGACAAUU